rnacentral:rRNA from 1 species
UACGGGGGGGGGCAAGCGUUGUUCGGAAUUACUGGGCGUAAAGGGCUCGUAGGCGGCCCUCUCAGUCGGAUGUGAAAUCCCCAGGCUUAACCUGGGAACGGCAUCCGAUACUGGAGGGCUUGAAUUCGGGAGAGGGAUGCAGAAUUCCAGGUGUAGCGGUGAAAUGCGUAGAUAUCUGGAGGAAUACCGGUGGCGAAGGCGGCAUCCUGGACCGAGAUUGACACUGAUGAGCGAAAGCUAGGGGAGCAAACGGG